GAGGUUGUAGUUCAGCGGUAGAGCACUCGCCUCGCACAUGGGAAACCCUGGGUUUGAUCCUCAGCACCACA
rnacentral:tRNA from 1 species